CAUCCCCUGCGGUGUUCGAGAGCAGGUAGUACGUUUUCUUGAGCCGACAAUCAUCGCUAAGGGAACAAAGUAGCGGCGCUGGUGAGCAAGUCUGCCACGGAGUAGAAAGCCUAAAGGGCUGCUCGGUAUUCCCACCUGAACCGAAGGGUUCAAGGGCGAUGCCUGCACGGCACUGCGCGGGGGAUGU
rnacentral:other from 1 species